rnacentral:rRNA from 1 species
UACGUAGGGGGCAAGCGUUGUCCGGAUUUAUUGGGCGUAAAGAGCGUGUAGGCGGCUUUACAGGUCCGUUGUGAAAACUCGAGGCUCAACCUCGAGACGCCGGUGGAAACCGUAAGGCUAGAGUCCGGAAGAGGAGAGUGGAAUUCCUGGUGUAGCGGUGAAUGCGCAGAUAUCAGGAAGAACACCCGUGGCGAAGGCGGCUCUCUGGUACGUGACUGACGCUGAGACGCGAAGCGUGGGGGAGCAACAGGAUAGAACCC